rfam:Verrucomicrobiaceae bacterium GAS474 genome assembly, chromosome: I
GCACUCGUAGCUCAACUGGAUAGAGUACAGCCCUCCGAAGGCUGGGGUUUUGGGUUCAAAUCCCAACGAGUGCA